GCGGUUGCCUCCUAAAGAGUAACGGAGGCGCCCAAAGGUUCCCUCAGCCUGGUUGGUAAUCAGGUGUUGAGUGUAAGUGCACAAGGGAGCUUGACUGUGAGACCGACGGGUCGAGCAGGGACGAAAGUCGGGACUAGUGAUCCGGCGGUGGCUUGUGGAAGCGCCGUCGCUCAACGGAUAAAAGGUACCCCGGGGAUAACAGGCUGAUCUUCCCCAAGAGUCCAUAUCGACGGGAUGGUUUGGCACCUCGAUGUCGGCUCGUCGCAUCCUGGGGCUGGAGUCGGUCCCAAGGGUUGGGCUGUUCGCCCAUUAAAGCGGUACGCGAGCUGGGUUUAGAACGUCGUGAGACAGUUCGGUCCCUAUCCGCUGUGCGCGUAGGAAUAUUGAGAAGGGCUGUCCCUAGUACGAGAGGACCGGGACGGACGAACCUCUGGUGUGCCAGUUGUUCUGCCAAGGGCAUGGCUGGUUGGCUACGUUCGGGAGGGAUAACCGCUGAAAGCAUCUAAGCGGGAAGCCUGCUUCGAGAUGAGUAUUCCCACCUCCUUGAGAGGGUAAGGCUCCCAGUAGACGACUGGGUUGAUAGGCCGGAUAUGGAAGCCCUGUAAGGGGUGGAGUUGACCGGUACUAAUAGGCCGAGGGCUUGUCCUCAGUUG
rnacentral:rRNA from 1 species